UACGGAGGGGGUUAGGGUUGUUCGGGAUUACUGGGCGUAAAGCGCUCGUAGGCGGUUCAGAAAGUUGGGGGUGAAAUCCCGGGGCACAACCCCGGAAUUGCCUUCAAAACUCCUGGUCUUGAGUUCGAGAGAGGUGAGCGGAAUUCCGAGUGUAGAGGUGAAAUUCGUAGAUAUUCGGAAGAACACCAGUGGCGAAGGCGGCUAACUGGCGCGUUUCUGACGCUGAGGUGCGAAAGCGUGGGGAGCAAACAUG
rnacentral:rRNA from 1 species